rnacentral:lncRNA from 1 species
AAGGCCCCACCUCCUAAUACCAUCACACUGGGGCUUAGCACCUCAACAUAUCAAUUUUGGGGAAAUACAAUUCAGUUCACAGUGCAUAGAUAGAUAUUAAUUGAUAUUAUCAAAAGAAACCAUGGGCAGAUAAACCCAAAACCAAACUGUUUUAAUGGUUAUCUAUUGGGAAGAAAAAGAAACAGGGUGAACGGGAAGUUACAGAAGCAAGAUUUCUGUGACUGUAACUGGAUAAAUAGAGAGUUUGGGAGGACGAUAAGUGUUUUAUGUGAUUUUUAAAAAUUAAAGUAAACUGAAAUGAAUGAGUCUUCCUGCAUAUAAAGUGUGUGGCAUAACCACAUAAAGCAAACAAUUACUUAAAGUGGCUUUAAAACGCAGCAUUUUGACUAUACAUCCCAAGUGAGAGAUAUGCUAUGGACAAUAAAAAAAAGGAAAAGAAAAAAGGAAAGAAAUCAUAAAUGGCAUUCAGUAGCCAUAUAUUAGUAUUGACAUUUUUAUUAAAUUACUAUGUUUCCAUCAUUAGGAACCAUAAUUUUCAGUAUAAAAAUGACAUAGCAUAAAAUCAAGGAAGUUUAAGUAAAAAUCUUGUAAUCUUAAAAGUGAAUUGGAAAUUGCAGUAUGAACUCACAUUGUGUUUUACUCUUUAAAAAAUACAUAUUUUCUAGUUCUGUCCACUGAAAAGACCCAGAAGCAAUGAAAACCCAGUAACAAUGAGCACACUUCCACGGCUGAACUCUCUAGAUAACAUUUACCAAUGAAAUUGGCUGAUUCUAAGUCUAGGGCAAAAAAUGUACAAAAGGAGACUGGAUACAAGUCUCUUAUUGUACCAGAAAGUGAAGGAGAAAUCAAAGACUAAUGAGGUCACGUUAAAGUGAUACAGGACGACACAGGGCCUGCCUGCAGCAGCUGGUCAAUAAUGAAGGGAUUAAUCCAUGACUGCAAGACUCGUGGGAAGGAGGGAGUGGGGACUGCAGGGAGGGUCCUAGUAAAAGCAGGGUGGGCCUCGAUGAGCACAGCAUGGACAGUGCGAUUUAAAUCCCAUCGCUUGUGGGCAGGAGGAGUGAGGAUGCCAGAACCUAGUUAUCCCCCACCAUCCCACGCUCUCCCAGGAGGCGGCGGCAGGAAGUGCAGUCUACAGUAAGGGAAAGCCGCCGGAGCUGGAGACAGGCUGGAAAGAGCAGGUAACAGCCCACAAGGAGCGGGGGCCCUGGCUGUCAGACUCAACUUGCAGGACCAUCAAGUGCAGGUGUGGUUCAAGAACCGGGGCCGCUUGCUCUGCGGUAGCAACGGCACAUAACCGCAGCGAUGACCAGGGCAGCCAAGCCAGCAGCCGGGACCCCGGGAUGCUCUUGGCACAUGAUCCGACUCCCCUGCCUUUGCGGGUCCUGUACUCCCGCGAGGUCCAGGAUUGUGCAGCCCCUCCCCAACCGGCCGUUGGGAAUCUUCGCAGCAGCAGAACCCGCUGCCUCCAGGUCCGACCAGACCUGCAUAGGUAGAGAGUCCCCGCACAGGGCGGCCAGCAGAGCUACCCAGCUGCCCCAGGGCCUCGGGACCCCUGGGCCUGGGACCCAGGCCAGACCCUGACUCAUUCGGUGAUCUCACAGGACUCCUCCCACCCCAAGACCCUUUCAGGGACCCUGCCUCGAACUCCACGACAUGGGAGGCAGGGGCGGGCCUUUUGCAGGGGAAGGACUCCCCCAGCAGGACGUUUACUGAAUCUGGAGGGAGUCGCCCUGCAGAUAUCCCGCGGAAGCCGGAGGAGACCCAGGUGCGCCCCACCGGCUAGCUGCGCCUGCGGGUGCCCAAAUUGGUGUCCGGGCCAUCCUCACCGCAGUGACUCCUCCGCAGCGCCAACGCACUCCAUUUUCCUUCCACCCUGCCGGUGGGGGGCGUUUGCUUGUUCUCACUCUGCAGCCGCAGCCAGUGGCGCCGCUACCAAGGUCCCCGCCUCGCCAUCCGGGUCCUGCCUGAGCAUCCUUAUUGGUGCUCAGGGCUAGGCGUGCAUUGCUGCUAGGGGCGCGGAAAGGUUUAUCGUGGGUGGAUGCUGCCCGGGGCUUGAGUGGUUUUUAGAGGUCUUGAGUGGCUCACUCUCCAAUCAGCGCUUUCUAGAGACAGCGUGGUCAGCGUACUUGCUUACUUUCAGGAUUGCGAGACGUCUUUAACCCUUGCUGAUCGGCUGACGCUGCAGCUUCCUGUGGCUUCCUGCUCAUUUCCCGCAAGAUAGCACUGAUAGGCAAUUCCAUUUUGGAAAAUUUAUCCUGAGGAAAUAAAUAAAGAUGUAAACAGAGAAUAACUUACAGAUGUGACGUUUGUGAUCGUUAAAACUGGAAACAGCGCAAGAGUGGACGAUAGGGGAUGAGAGAGCCACACAGCGCAUAGAAGAUGAUCAGUCUGAAGAGAGGGUUUUCAGACAUGCAAUUAACUGCUAUUCACUGUACUUCAUUUUAACUGCAAACUAGCAGGAAAAAAGAGGUCAACUCGGAGGAGCCAGGGAUUCAGCCCACUCUGGACAACACUCAGAGCCAUGGCACCUACCUGUAUGAAAAAAAAUUGUUAAGCAGCUGCCACUCCUAGUUACUGGCCUCUGCUCGGUGACUGAUGCACUUCUAACAUCCUUGUCCCAGGAUAAAGACCUUGUAAUGGAGAAAAAAGAUGGCAGGGAUCCUUUCCAUGGAAUUUCGGCUGUUGUCUAGUGGACCUUCCAGGAAUUGUCUGAUUCUAUGGGAGUGCGCAACUUUGACUGUUCAGUUGGGCCAAUUGGCAACACUGUAGAGACGGAAACUAACUUGUGGAGGGCUGAGGGUGAUACAGACAUUUUCUGUCCGUGGUAAUGCAAAAGGUGUUCAUAGCAAUGCAAAUGGAUUUUAUCCAAUGGGGGAGAUAAAUAUUUGAACGGGCUCUCUUGUUAAUUACUAGUUAAUCAAAAUAUUUGACAUGUAUUCAUUCUAUAUUUAUAGGGGAGUCAUGAUUCUACCUUUUUGGAAAUGACCCUCUAGCAGUUUUAUUGGUCCUAUGAGAUACACAGUAGAUUCACCAGCCAGAGCCAGAUGAGCUGCACAGUUGCCAAAGGGAACUUCAGAUGCCACCAGAGCCUCAGCUCUGUCCUCCCUCACCUCCCAAGGUGACUUCCAAGCAGCCACAGAACUUUAAUUUUACUUACUCUCUGUUUCUCUAGUUUUAUUUUUCUAAUCUUUACUGAAUUUGUGUCUGUGGUUUUAUUUCUGGUUUAUUCCUGACUAUAAGUUAUUCCCUAUUCUUGACAACAGUGAUUGAGAAUUUGGUUUUUGGCCUGACCAUUUAGUCAUCUCUGUAGAUGGAUGACACAGAUCUAAUUCCUUUCAAGUGAGAGACAACAGGAAAUCCGGUUUGUUGGUCCUUUCUUGUUUGUUUAUUUUGAGCUCCAGUCAGUUAGAAAUUUAGUGCCCGCUGCAAAGCACAGCUCUUUGAGACUUGGGAUUGGUAAGAGGGUGUGUUGCUUACUUCUGGCCUGUGGCUGAAUUUGCAGGGCCAAAGCCAAAAUCUCUCCAUAUGUCUGUCAUCUGUGAUCCAUGUGUCUGCAAGUCUAUAACUGAGAAAAGCCUUGAUUCCGUGAUAUGUGAGUGUGAAAUAAAUUAAUAAAUUAGUUAUGUCUCUUAAAUCAAAGGAGCUCUGUUCUUACUAGUUUAUAGGAAAAAAGGCACUUAUAUAUCUUAUAUAUCUCAUAUUUCUAGCUUCUAGUGCUUUCAAUGUGUUAGGCUUUUUAAAAUAUCCUUCAUACAGAAACUGCUACCUUAAAUACAUUUUAUAAAACCAAGUUCCUGUAACUAAGGUAAAUCUGUGGCAAGUCAAACUAGCUUAAUAAUUUUGGUUUUUAAAAAACAGAUUGGUCUUGUCUUUGAUUUACAGUGUUAAGUAUAAUUCAAUUGUGUAUUUGAUCAAAUCUCUCAUGAAGAGAAUAAUCUGGUCUUCUUAAAUAGUUUAUCAAAAAGAUAACAUUAGUCUAAUACAAUGUCACUAUUAUGAAAACUGAAUAUUGGUAUUACUCUAAAUUGAAUCACUAUUUAGACACAUCCGUUACCUCAACCUAUGUUUUGUAGUAUAAUUUAUCCAAUUAAAUAAAUGUCCAAGAUCUUUAGAUAACUUAGAACCUGGAAUCUUCAGAUAAAUCAGAACCUGACCCUGAAUGGAGUUAAUUAAUAGAUAAUCAUCAGAUACCUAGAUAAACGAAGUAGGAUAUAACACUAAAACAUGGAUUGCUAAGCCUACUUUUAGGCUUAUCCACUUUUGCUCCUUAUUUUUAUAUUCUGCAGAAAGCCUGGAUCUUUGAGUUGUGUUGAUGGGCAUAUUCGUGUUUGCCACUUGAAGGAGUAAGAGGCCCGCGUGGAUCUGGAGGCAAGUGGCUGUGCCCUCCUGCAAUCUGCUCACCUGCAGAAAUGCUCGCGUAGGGCAGCUCUCAAUUUUCUGCCACCUCCUCAGCUUUUUCUGUGAAACAGAAGUUGGUUACUUUGGAUGAAAAUUAUCUUUCAUAUAGGUGGUUGGUACACGAAGCAAUAGUGACAAAUAAAACUCUGUGUGCGUGCUUCUGUUUUGUCAUGCAAUGAAAAGUAGUUUUGUUCCAGAAUAUGAAUGAACACAGUGAAUGAAGGUCUAAAGAAGUGAAUGUUAUUUGCCUUGGUUUAUAAUACCUGAGUCUGAAAAGAGACAUGAAGUAACUUAGAUCUUAGCAAAGUUUCCUCACUUUUGAUGGGCUUGCCGCCUUGGCUUACUGGUCACCGCCUUCAUCUACAGCAGGGGUCCCCAAUCCCCGGGCUAUGGUCCAGCAACAGUCCAUGGCCUGUUAGGAACCGGGCCACAUAGCAGGAGAUAAGCGGUGGUUACAGCUGCUCCCCAUCACUCACAGUACUGCCUGAGCUCUGCCUUCUGUCACGGUGGCAUGAGAUUCUCACAGGAGUAUGAACCCCUAUUGUAAACUGUGCAUGCAAGGCAUCUAGGUUGUAUGCUCCUUAUGAGAAUCUAAUGCCUGACAAUCUGUCACUCUCUCCCAUCACCCCCAGAUGGGACCAUCUAGUUGCAGGAAAAUAAGCUCAGGCCUCCACUGAUUCUAUAUUAUUGUGAGUUGUAUAAUUAUUUCAUUAUAUAUUACAAUGUAAUAAUAAUAGAAAUAAAGUGUACAAUAAAUGUAAUGUGCUUGAAUCAUCCAGAAACCAUCCCCCCAUCCCAGUCCGUGGAAAAAAUGUCUUCCAUGAAACCGGUUCCGGGCGCCAGAAAGGCUGGGGACCACUGACCUGCAGCACAAAGGCUAUUCUUUACCUUCCUUGUGGUCUGCCUGACAGCAAAAGUGUGUGUCUUGCCAGAAAAAUUUCUGUGCCUUAUGCUGACUUCAUUCAGUCCUUGAGUAUUUAAACAAAACAAUACAAAAACUCACUUGUGAAAGAGAUGAUUCUUUAAACUCAUGUCACCUUCUGUUUACUUUUACAUUUGUUUGCAUUAUUAAAAGAGUAAGCAAGAAUUAUUUCUUCAGCACCCAUGAUAUGCUCUGAGUCAAGUGCCUAAAUCUUCUCUGACAACUCUUUUGAUUUUUCCUUCUAGAGAUCAGAUCCUAAAUAUAGAAAGAGUAAAAGAAAACUUUUUAUCUUGAACUAAAACAUUCUUUGAAACUUCCCAGAGGGCCCCUGGAAAUUCACGAGAUUUGUACUUUCACCCUAUGAAGCAAGAGCAAGAGAGGCCAGAAGUAAUUAUGUUUAUUAUUCUUUAAUCAGCAUCUGAAGAGAUGCUCAGCCUCCCUAGGUUAAGUUUGUAUCAGUAAACUCAUUAUAAAUAGUUCAGACACUGCACACUUUGUAGGAAGGCCCUGAAGCUUUGCCAGUGCCCUCGUCGCCGUCCAUUGUAUGCUUUACCUUUAGUGAGACACUGAUC